AUCAACAUAGCAGCCUCUGCCAAGAUGUUUCCUGGUCAAAUAUCAUGUGAAUAUACAAGAAUGACAUUUUAUGAAAUCACCCAACUAUAUACAAGAGCCAUUGGCUGCUGUUUAAUAUUAGCAUCUUAGAUAAUUCUUGCUCAAUAUGGCAGCUAAAAAUGGCAUGUAAAGGGGGAUUUGGUCAGAGACAACAAGGGCAGAAUAAUGUGGAAGUAUAAAGUCUGCAUCAUGCCAAUAAAGCACCUGAGAAACUGUACUUGAAGAAGCUUACCGAAAAUCUACUUUAGAUAGAAAUCUUUCAAGCCACAUUAGUAAGUAGCUCAUAAGAUAAUAAAACAAUAAUUAGUGACUGCAACACUUAAUAUGUGAAGGAAAUGUACAGUUGAUAUACUGGUAGUAUCAUGCAUUGCAGACACUACAACAGGCAAUUAAACUUGACAUUUAGGGCAUCACAGGAGUCACUUAACCGUGAUCACGUCUGACAAAGACACAAAGAAGCAAAUGCUAUGUUUGAACCAUGCCACCCAUACAGCGGAACGGAACGGCUGGCUGUCGUGACAUGUUUAAUGUAUGUGGCUCGCUCACUGUAGCGCCCACAUUGGUCCCUCUCGGUAUCCGUAGGUUGUCCUACCACAGUUGCCCAAAGACAGUCUGACGGCGGACUGGAUUUCUUAGCAAUAUGGAAGCACUUUGGAUUGCAGCUAAGUCGGAAAAUCCGCCAGACUGCAGAUGGACAGCUUUUAUACUGACACUGACAUUACUUAUUUUAAUGAAUGGAAGUGAUUUUUUUUCUGUCUCUGCUAGCUGCAGUGGCAGUAAGGUUAAAGUUGAUUAAUUGUGUUUAAGAGCCUUUGUAAGAACUUCCUAAAAUUUCAUCUCAUGUCAUUUCUUGAGAUGUGUUGUAAAAGACAUUUGUGAAGCCAGUUCCUAAGCAUUCACACGGUUUUUACAAGAUUCCCAGCUGAACUUAUUUGCCACUGGUUAAUAGUAGUAUCUAAGAAGCCAACUCAUUUAAGUCAAACCCAAUCAAAACAGAACAUGUUGCCGUGUUUAGGGCACCAAGUUUGACCUUUAAGCACUACAUUAAACUGCCCUGCUUGAGAAUGUUGUAGGUAAAUUCUCUUUGUAGGUGUGGCCUGCAGCGCCGCCUUAUGGAUCCCUCAUGUUAAUGGACUAAUGGAGACCACGACUUUUGGUAGAUCCACAAUGAGGAGCUUGAUGGGUUUGUCUUGACCUCAGUGCUGACCUCUGCAAGAGAUGAUGGCCAUUUCAGGAAAUGACAGAGGAUACCUAACCAUCACUCACCCAUGAAGUCAUGACACAGUUUGUGUUUGAGACAUCUUCAUGUUUUCUUUGAUAGAAGACAUAUUAAGACAUUCAUUGUCUUGAAACCGUAAUAAUAAUCAGUGUAUAUGUCAGAUCCCUGUUAGCCUUUCACAACUGACAAUAAUAAAAGCCAUCUCCAUAAUGAAAGAC